AUUGAACGCUGGCGGCAGGCCUAACACAUGCAAGUCGAGCGGAAGAAGGGAGCUUGCUUCUGGAUUCAGCGGCGGACGGGUGAGUAAUGCCUAGGAAUCUGCCUGGCUGUGGGGGAUAACGUCCGGAAACGGGCGCUAAUACCGCAUAUGUGCUGAGGGAGAAAGAGGGGGAUCUUCGGACCUCACGCUCUCAGAUGAGCCUAGGUCGGAUUAGCUAGUUGGUGGGGUAAAGGCCUACCAAGGCGACGAUCCGUAGCUGGUCUGAGAGGAUGAUCAGUCACACUGGAACUGAGACACGGUCCAGACUCCUACGGGAGGCAGCAGUGGGGAAUAUUGGACAAUGGGCGAAAGCCUGAUCCAGCCAUGCCGCGUGUGUGAAGAAGGUCUUCGGAUUGUAAAGCACUUUAAGUGGGGAUGAAGGGCAGUAGGUUAAUACCUUGCUGUUUUGACGGUACCAACAGAAUAAGCACCGGCUAACUUCGUG
rnacentral:rRNA from 1 species